CCUGCCCAGUGACACUGUUCAACGGCCGCGGUAUCCUAACCGUGCGAAGGUAGCGUAAUCACUUGUCUUUUAAAUAAGGACUAGAAUGAAUGGCUAAACGAGGUUCUACCUGUCUCUUACAAAUAAUCAGUGAAAUUGGUCUUCCAGUGCAAAACCUGGAAUAAAAAUAUAAGACGAGAAGACCCUGUGGAACUUUAAAUACAAAUCAAUCUAUUAUUCAUACCCACCCACGAUGGUUUAUCACCAAUUAGCACAUUGAUCCAUAUUUUCGGUUGGGAUGACCUCAGAGUAAAAUUAAACCUCUGAACAAAGAACACACCUCCAAACCUAGACCCACCAUUCAAAGUGCUUACAGCAAAAUGAUCCAAUACACUUGAUCAACGAACCAAGCUACCCCAGGGAUAACAGCGCAAUCCUAUCCUAGAGUCCCUAUCGACGAUAGGGUUUACGACCUCGAUGUUGGAUCAGGACAUCCUGAUGGUGUAACCGCUAUCAAGGGUUCGUUUGUUCAACGAUUAAUAGUCCUACGUGAUCAGAGUUC
rnacentral:rRNA from 1 species